rnacentral:lncRNA from 1 species
CUCCCCUGCCUUCUGAGUCCCUAAUUGUAGUCUGAGUAGCAGUUGUAUAAAUUUAUAUUCCUUUGAUUUCAGUAAUAAAAAUACUGUUCUUAUGGUGCCAUAUCUGAGCGUGUUGCCUUGCCUUUUCUCGUAUCUUUUGUGCAUCUUGCUUGGUGCAUAUCGGCUGGCUUCUUUGUGCAGAUGAUAUCGGAGUGCCGCACGGAUAUGAUCUACUAAGAGACGAAGUCCGUGACAAUAUGCAUGGUAGAUGGGGCGC